GAUGAACGCUAGCUACAGGCUUAACACAUGCAAGUCGAGGGGCAUCAGGAAGAAAGCUUGCUUUCUUUGCUGGCGACCGGCGCACGGGUGAGUAACACGUAUCCAACCUGCCCUUUACUCGGGGAUAGCCUUUCGAAAGAAAGAUUAAUACCCGAUGGGAUAAUUAUUCCGCAUGGUUUGAUUAUUAAAGGAUUCCGGUAAAGGAAGGGGAUGCGUUCCAUUAGGUUGUUGGUGAGGUAACGGCUCACCAAGCCUUCGAUGGAUAGGGGUUCUGAGAGGAAGGUCCCCCACAUUGGAACUGAGACACGGUCCAAACUCCUACGGGAGGCAGCAGUGAGGAAUAUUGGUCAAUGGGCGCUAGCCUGAACCAGCCAAGUAGCGUGAAGGAUGAAGGCUCUAUGGGUCGUAAACUGCUUUUAUAAGGGAAUAAAGUGAGUCUCGUGAGACUUUUUGCAUGUACCUUAUGAAUAAGGACCGGCUAAUUCCGUGCCAGCAGCCGCCGUAA
rnacentral:rRNA from 1 species